UACGUAGGUGGCAAGCGUUGUCCGGAUUUACUGGGCGUAAAGAGCGCGCAGGCGGUCGUACAAGUCGCGUGUGAAAGCCCCCGGCUCAACUGGGGAGGGUCACGCGAUACUGUUCGACUCGAAGGCAGGAGAGGGAAGCGGAAUUCCCGGUGUAGUGGUGAAAUGCGUAGAUAUCAGGAGGAACACCAGUGGCGAAGGCGGCUUUCUGGACGGUAACUGACGCUGAGACGCGAAAGCGUGGGGAGCAAACAGG
rnacentral:rRNA from 1 species